CCUGCGGAUGGCACCGGGGCCACCCAGCCCGUCCUGUGCCCCCGCCGCGGGGCUCGCGCUGCCCUGGCUGCCAGCCUGAGCGCUGACACCAGCUCUGAAGUCACCAUCCGGAGCAGGAAGCUGGGGAUUAGCGGGAACAUUGCUUGUCAAGGGGAUAAUCACGGGCACAUGGCACAGAUCGGAUAGCCCUCCCGCCAGCCAGAGCUACUAAUGAGGUGUUUCCCCUGCUGCUGGUGAAGGGCUGGUAAUGAAGUUCCUGUCCUAUUCCCUUUCCCGGAGCUGGGUAUGACGGCUGUCAGACAGGAACCUUCUGUCGGAAAUACUCUGCUCCUUGUCCUUGUGGUUGCCCUUCUUCGUGCUGGGCACAGGAGCUGUGUUGAGUCCCUGAGACCCAAGGGGCUUCUCGAGGCUCAUCCACACCGACCUGCCCCAGCCUCCCCCAUACACACCACAUGGCCCAGAUUCACUGCUCGGCUGCCUCUUUUCUUAAAGGGUUGGGCUAUUUAAUUUUAAUUGGUAUUUACAUAACGAGUAACCAAGCAAUGAGCUUGUUUUUCACAUAGGAAUAAGGCCGAUGCUAAACAGCCACUAUGUACUUUGGGGUUUUGCUCAAUAAAUACGUCAGCAUAAGGCAGGACAUGGUUUCUCUUCCACAUCAAAAGCAAGAACUUAUGACAAUUCCCACUGCAAAUGUCAUGACCUUGCAUAAAAAAGGAAGACUGAUGGCUAUAGUAGAACUGAGGCAUAACAAAGAGAAGAGACAAGACUGGGCUUAUCCUAAACCACUUCUGAACUGUCGUUUUCUUCUUCCAGCAAGGUGCUUAGGGAAACAUUGGGACCAUAGGUGGUGUAGCCACAGAAUAAAACAAAUUUUUUUGUCCUUACUUUGUGAAGUUUGCUCCAAAAGACCUGGCACAGACAUUAGUGGAUGUCCUCUUCAGAUGUAUGGAGAAAUAAGGAUGAAUUAGUUUUGCCUCACUGCAUGGAAACAUUAAGUUAAAGGCCCAUUUACUGAAAAGGUCUAUGUGAUGUAGGAACCAAAUGCCAAGCACUGCAGCUUUUCCUUCUCCUCCAUACUGAUGUUUCAGCUCCAGAGCAUGCACACAGCAGUCACAGAGGCUGUGCCACCUGCAGCAGCACGUUGGUGCUGGAAUCCCAAAGCCACCUCUGAACCAUCCCUGAAAGCUGAGGGAAAGCUUGCUCUGACCAGCAGCCACACGGGCUGUUUUGGUUUUGAUUUGCAGCAGAUUUGAUAAGAAAGCUCUCAGGAAAAACAAAUUUCCUCUUGGACUCAGUCGAAUUGGGCACAUAUUCCGGCACACCGAGUUCCCUUUCCUAAAAGCUCAUGAAGUAGGCUUCUAAAAUUAGGAAUAAGAGGUGAAGUCCUGGCCCUUUUUCAAGCAGGGACCAUUAUCCCCAGGACCAGCUCUCACUUGAGGGUCACUGUAGACCCUCAUCGAUGGAGAGCAGUGACAAGAAGAAAAAAAAAAAAGUCUUGAUAACAAUCUUUUAUCUCUAACUGUUAUUCCAGUGGUCUCUUCUGUUUCUCCUGCUGCCCUCACACUGUCUCAUUCCGUAGCCUGUAUCCACCACCAGUGCUGCUGUACAAACAGUUCGGUGUUUGGCCCAGAGACGAUGAAUCGCUGGUGCUCAGCUGCUCCAGCAGUGUCACGUUCCAAAUUAAGCACCUCCGUUUUCACUGGGGUCAUUGCUCAUAUGCAGCAGUUUCUUUUUUAUUUAGUCUAGUCCAAAAAAAGGGCAAUUACUAUCUCCCUGCAAAUGCCAGGGCUGCAGGGGUUGGCAGCUGUGACAUCCAGAUGCC
rnacentral:lncRNA from 1 species